CCUACGGGUGGCUGCAGUGAGGAAUAUUGGUCAAUGGGCGUAAGCCUGAACCAGCCAAGUCGCGUGAGGGACGAAGGCUCUAUGGAUCGUAAACCUCUUUUAUAAGGGAGUAAAGUGCGGGACGUGUCCCGUUUUGUAUGUACCUUAUGAAUAAGGAUCGGCUAACUCCGUGCCAGCAGCCGCGGUAAUACGGAGGCUCCGAGCGUUAUCCGGAUUUAUUGGGUUUAAAGGGUGCGUAGGCGGGCUUAUAAGUCAGCGGGGAAAGACUGGGGCUCAACAAUGGAAGUGCCGUUGAUACUGGGGGGCUGGAGUAUGGUUGAGGCAGGCGGAAGGCGUGGUGUAGCGGUGAAAUGCGUAGAUAUUACGAAGAACACCGAUUGCGAAGGCAGCCUGCUAGGCCAUAACUGACGCUGAUGCACGAAAGCGUGGGGAUCAAACAGGAUUAGAUACCCUAGUAGUC
rnacentral:rRNA from 1 species